rnacentral:rRNA from 1 species
AUUGAACGCUGGCGGCAUGCCUAACACAUGCAAGUCGAACGAGUGGCGGACGGGUGAGUAAUGUCUGGGAACCUGCCUGAUGGCGGGGGAUAACUACUGGAAACGGUAGCUAAUACCGCAUACCAUCAGAUGUGCCCAGAUGGGAUUAGCUAGUUGGUGGGGUAAAGGCUCACCAAGGCGACGAGCCCUAGCUGGUCUGAGAGGAUGACCAGCCACACUGGAACUGAGACACGGUCCAGACUCCUACGGGAGGCAGCAGUGGGGAAUUUUGGACAAUGGGCGAAAGCCUGAUGCAGCCAUGCCGCGUGUAUGAAGAAGGCCUUCGGGUUGUAAAGUACUUUCAGCGGGGAGGCGUUACCCGCAGAAGAAGCACCGGCUAACUCCGUGCCAGCAGCCGCGGUAAUAC